AGAGUUUGAUCCUGGCUCAGAGCGAACGCUGGCGGAAUGCUUUACACAUGCAAGUCGAGCGGCAGCGCGGGGCAACCUGGCGGCGAGCGGCGAACGGGUGAGUAAUGCAUCGGAACAUGUCCAUGUCGUGGGGGAUAGCCCGGCGAAAGCCGGAUUAAUACCGCAUAAGCCCGAGAGGGGAAAGCAGGGGACCGCAAGGCCUUGCGCGAUUGGGUUGGCCGAUGUCCGAUUAGCUUGUUGGUGAGGUAAAGGCUUACCAAGGCGAUGAUCAGUAGCUGGUCUGAGAGGAUGAUCAGCCACACUGGGACUGAGACACGGCCCAGACUCCUACGGGAGGCAGCAGUGGGGAAUUUUGGACAAUGGGGGCAACCCUGAUCCAGCCAUUCCGCGUGAGUGAAGAAGGCCUUCGGGUUGUAAAGCUCUUUUGUCCGGAGCGAAACGGUGGCGGUGAAUAUCCGCCACUACUGACGGUACCGGAAGA
rnacentral:rRNA from 1 species